GAUGAAGAACGUAGCGAAAUGCGAUACUUGGUGUGAAUUGCAGAAUCCCGUGAACCAUCGAGUCUUUGAACGCAAGUUGCGCCCGAAGCCAUUAGGCCGAGGGCACGCCUGCCUGGGCGUCACACGUCGUUGCCCCCCCCAUCUACUCCUUCGGGAUUGCGGGGGGCGGAUGAUGGCCUCCCGUGCGCCUCGCCGCGCGGUUGGCAUAAAUGCCAAGUCCUCGGCGACGCACGCCACGACAAUCGGUGGUUGCGAAACCUCGGUUGCCCGUCGUGUGCGGUCGUCGCGCAUCGGGGGCUCGAAAAAAUUGCCGAGUUCCGGCUCGGCUUUCAACGCGACCCCAGGUCAGGCGGGGUUACCCGCUGAAUUUAAGCAUAUCAAUAAGCGGAGGA
rnacentral:misc_RNA from 1 species